rnacentral:misc_RNA from 1 species
GAAAUGCGAUAAUUAAUGUGAAUUGCAGAAUUCAGUGAAUCAUCGAGUCUUUGAACGCACAUUGCGCCCCCUGGUAUUCCGGGGGGCAUGCCUGUCCGAGCGUCAUUGCUGCCCUCAAGCACGGCUUGUGUGUUGGGCUUCCGUCCCUGGCAACGGGGACGGGCCCAAAAGGCAGUGGCGGCACCAUGUCUGGUCCUCGAGCGUAUGGGGCUUUGUCACCCGCUCCCGUAGGUCCAGCUGGCAGCUGGCCUCGCAACCAAUCUUUUUAACCAGGUUGACCUCGGAUCAGGUAGGGAUACCCGCUGAACUUAAGC